CACUACUGACGAGUCUCAAACAGGACAAAACAGCUGUCCAGGGC
rnacentral:hammerhead_ribozyme from 1 species